UGUCACAGCCGCUUGCUAGGAGGGCCUCAACACCCUCACUCAGGACACUUGGACCAAGAGCAGGAAUGCUUAUGAUCGCACAAUAACCUGUCGAGGUAAAAGUGCGAUGCAAACCUAGGCCUGGUGACACCUCCCCGACCAAACCCUGAGAACUAGGACUUUCUCGAUUAAACAAAGAGGGUUUGUUUCCUUUGGCGGGGGGGCGGGGUGGGGGUGGAUGAGGGGGGCGUCCAAGGGCUAGGUGUCCGAGCUUUGCAGGCUCACAUGAACCCCAGCAAUGAGAAACUGAUGCAUGAACCAGAUACCAAAUUACAAAUUUCACACUGCACAGUCUGAGUGUGAAAGGUCCUCCUUGAAUCCCCAGACAAGCUCCUUAUCUUGUGAUCUGGACACCUUUUAUUGUCAGGGCACCUGGGAACACCUUAAGCAUCUUAGGUCAUUGGAUAAUUUCCACUUUCAUGGGAGAAUUUUAAUGCAAGCCUAGAGAUGGAAAUUUCGCUCUGCUCCAUCUUUAGAAAGAGCCUGUUAAAGCAGUCUUCUCUUUUAUAGCUCCUUAUUAGUUACCAACGGUUUCUCCACAAUGGCUAUAAUAGUUGAUCACGCAUUUGUUAUGUGUCCGGAUGAGCAUAUAGACUACUGUUGAGCCUCAUUUUCAAACUAUCAUUUUAAUGUGGGCUAUUCCCUGGGGGAGAAUCCAGAGAUGACACCAGCAGUAUUUAGGUUGAUUUUUGUUGGCAUCAUUUUCUAAAGAUGCAGAUCCCUGUGUAUUGACCGCAUCCCAGAAACAGGACACAAGACCACAUGUUUAGAAAAACACACAAGAGGCCAAGGGAGCACCCAUGUACUGGCAGGUUGGGGGAGGGGGGUGGAGUCUGCCAAAUUUCAUCCAUCUUGAGUCUCUACAUAAUCCACAAUUAGGGACCCCUGCCUUAUCUGCUCUCCCACUGCAUGGCUCUCUGCUCUGAGACAAUCACUUCACAAGCUAUUGUGGAGUCUAGGAUGGCACCCUGGAGCCUGUGUUUUUAACAAUCCCCCAACUUCUCCAGGGGAUUUCAGUGCUUUAAGCCAUGGGAAGCCAUAAAAGGUGGCGACAUGAUUAAGUUCACAUCUUCAAAGGUCACCCUGACAACAGCAUGAUGACUCAAUUGGAUGGGGCUGUUCUGGAGGCCCGUGGAAUGUGCUGGGGAAGAAAUGGUGAGUGUCUAAACUAGGAGAGUGGCUGUGAAGAGGGGAUGAGGUGGGAAGAAGGGAAUGAUUCACUAGAGAGUAUUCAGGAGGUAGACUUGAGGUAAUGUGGUAAUUGGUUGAAUAUGCAGAGCAAGGGAAAAGAAAGAAAGUUUUAGCUUGGGAGGUUGAAAACUCGGUGGCUUCAAACAAUAAACAUUUAUUAUCUCACAGUGUCUGUGGAUCAGGAUUUCAAGAACAUCUUAGCUGGGUUGUUCUGUCUCAGUAUUUCCCAUGAGAUUGUGGUGAGCAUGUCAGCUGGGGCUUGAUUAGGGGCUGAGGGAUCCAUUUCUACAAUGGCUCACUCAUAUGGCUGUUGGCCAGAGGCCUCAGUUCCUCACCAUAUUGGCCUCUCCAUAGUGCUGCUUGGAUGUCUUUGAGACAUGGUAGUUAAUGAUUCCAAGAGAGAGGAAGGAAGAAGUCAUGAUGCAUUUCCUGACUCAGCCUCAGGAGUCACAUUCCAUCAUUUCCACAAUAUCCUAUUGUUACACUGGUCAGCUCUAUUCUGUGUGAGAGGGGACUACAUGAAAACACCAGGUGGUGGGGACCACUGGUGGUCAUCUUGGAGGCUGGCUACCACAGUGGAUAAAAAACUAUCGAAGCAUUAGGAGAAAAUAGGUAAAUUCCUCUAUAGUCUUUGACUCAAAAUCUAGAAGCAUAAGGGAAAAGAUUGAUCAAUUUGACACACCAUGCAUAUUUAUAACUUUAUUAUGACAAAAGACACCAUAAGAAAGUCCAAGAUAUAAUAAACUGAGAAAAUUAUCUCUAAUGCUUAUCACAAAGGACUGAGAAGAAAAAACCUCCAAUUGUGUAGAAAAUGGGCAAGAGAUAUGGAAAGGCAGUUGAUUGUGAUUUAUUUAAGGUCACAUGUGCAGCAAGUGUUGGUUGGAAUCUGUCUCCAGACCUAUUGGCGUGUCCUCCGAGUGUCCUGCCCUGCCCUGUUCUGCCAGGGGCACAGUGCCAGCUACCCCAGGCCUGACAUUUUUCAGUGGAAAAAGAAAGGAAGAGAAUGCGGGGGCUAGCCAUGGACAGAUGACUUCAGCUUGAAGAAUCCACAGUAGCGGGAGAGUUUGUUCAAACUGCCUAGAAACGAAGGCAUGUCACUGCAGUUAAAUGGAAUUCACCUAUGAAUGACCAGCAACAUCCAGUGCACCAAGAAUCAUCAUGUAAAAAUGAUUUCUCAAAAUGUUUUUUGAAAAGGGUUUAGAAAAGGUUCACAGUAUGUUUUCUCAAAAAUGCAUAGAUUCCACUUAGGUGACAUUCUGGAGAAGGCAACACUGUAGGGACAGAAAUCAGAUCAGUGGUUGCCAGAUCCUGGGGUGAGAGGAAAGGAUUGCCUACAAAGGACAUGCGAGAACUUUUGGGUGGUGAUGAAAACAUUCUGUAUCUUGAUUGCAGCGGUGGAUACAUGGUUGUACAUAUUUGCCAAAACUCAAAACUGCACACCUAAGAAGGGUGAAUGUUACUGUAUUUAAAUUAUACCUCAAUAAGUUUGACUUUAAAAAUGUACAGAUUCCAACUUCUAGAUCAACCUGAAUUUCCCUCUGUAACCUUGACCUUUUUAUUAAAUACCUUCUUUCAUUGACAAGUUUAUCUAGUUUUAAUCUUCAAAAUGAUUUCCAGCAGAUUUUACCUAAGUUAUAGAAAGUUAAUCUUUUCAUAUAUAUUGCUUCUUUUGCCCAAGCGUCCCAUUUUAGGCAGCCAACAUUUAUUGAACCCUGUGCCUGAAAAAAGUCUUAUCUCAAUAUCCCUAUGAAGUAUACCCUAUUAUUACUCCCAUUGUAAGGAUAAGGAAAUUGAGGUCAGGGAGAUUAAUGAAAAUCUUCAAUAAGAAUGGAUCUGAACUCAGGGGUACCCUAUUCCAUAGUCAGUGCUCCUAACCUCGAUGCUAUUCUGUCUUGAUGAUGCAUUUCAAAACGUGCUUCUGAUUCCCGGCAGAUCUUCUCUAUGUGCCUAACACAUACCUACAGACAAAGGACAUUCAAAUUUGCUUUCUGACAACAGCAUGUUAGAAGGACUCUUGAAAAUCGUUUUGCCAACAGGAGUUCUCAUUUGGCUUAUUUACAUUUUUCAUAUAAGCCUUAAGGUUAUAACAUUCUAAACUGAAACACCAAAGAAGCAGGAUGCCCAAGAUCUCACAGAACUGCAAUGAAAACACCCACAAUCCUCUGUGUAAUGAGAUGAAAAUAAGUAAAUGAAAGAGAGGAAUGCUUUUCCAGAAAUCCAUCUUGUGCUCAUGGACAGAGGGCUGCAGCAUGUGGUCAGUUCCUGCACCUUCGGUCAGUUCCUAAGAGCCAAAGAAACAGUAUUUGAACAUGACUUUGAUCUACAUUGACCACAGCCAAAGAUCAUUUAUGUGGAGACCUACUAUUCUUCCUGGAUUCCAUCCUGCAUUAAAAGAUGAGUAUAAUUGUAUUGUAGAAAAGCACUUGGAGAUUUAUAAUCCUGGAGUCUUUCUGAACAUCUCUUUAUGUAAUGAAAUAUGUGAAGGGUAAAUAUGUUGAUCAGGAUAUUCACUUCAAUUAAA